rnacentral:lncRNA from 1 species
CAAGGGUUUGCUGCCUCUAACUCCUAAUUCAGCUCUUAACUUUCCCUAGCUCUGAAUUCAUCACUGAGGAAAUGGAGCUAAUAGGACUCCCUAUCUUGUAGGUUUGUGGUGGGAGAGAAAGGGCAAGAUUAACUUGGAUAGUGCAAAACACAGUGCUUGGCACACGACACUCCGUAAUGAUAGUUGUCUUGUUUUGUCUUGCAUCAGGUGCGCGUGGCCCAUCAUGAUCUCCACACACACACUCUCCAUGAGAAUAUGAUACAGAUGAGGAAACUGAUUCAGAGAGGUUAAAGAAUUAGCUCACAAUCACACAGGUAGCACAUAACUCCUCAUUCAGUUCUCCCCCACAGACAUGCCUGAGGGUCCCAGAGAAUGGAAGCCUCGGGGGAGAGAAACGACAGGGUACCUGGAUUCUUCAGGAAGCCAGAGAGGCCCCGCCCCACCUGCCACAAUUGCUGAGCUAAGCAGGACAGUGUGUGGUGGAGUUGUUGUCCGGACACAGGAUCAUCCGCCAGAGCCAGGUUGGGCCAACAGAGAGGACAUGGAAGUGAUCUGCUCCAGGCACUGCGCCCCUCCAGGCAGGACAAGCCAGGAUGAGGACAGUGUGGGGUGUAGCUGCCACCACCCAGUGCUGUCCAAGGAAGAUGGAGCAGCCACAUCCUGCACGGCAACACCAGGUGGCCAAGCCAGAGCGUGUGACCACUCGCCACUCCCCACCCACAGCAAAGAGGCGAGGCCUGCUGCCCAGCAGAGAGCAGCCCAGCCUAUGGCGGUCAGGAGCAGGUAUAGGCCACGUCCUCAACCUCAGGGGAGACACCAAAGACCCAAGGGGCUGGGACAGACACAGGCUGCCCAAGAGGGGUGAGGCUUGCUGAGGGACCUCCAGCUGCUCGGGCACCCCCGAAUGACUACGUUCUGCUUAUAAUUCCAUGGGGUCAUCACGGCAGGUGAGGGAACACAGGAGGCGGUUUCACAACACACCCUGGCAUGGGCGGCAGCCCCACACCGCGAAUCACCCUAUAGGCUCCGCUUCAUGGGUAACUGGAAUUCGAAGAUAAUUCGGAAAGUGACUGUGCACUUUCCGC